rnacentral:rRNA from 1 species
UGGGGAAUUUUGGACAAUGGGGGCAACCCUGAUCCAGCCAUGCCGCGUGAGUGAAGAAGGCCUUCGGGUUGUAAAGCUCUUUCAGGUGGAAAGAAAUCUCCCGGGUGAAUACCCUGGGAGGAUGACGGUACCAUCAGAAGAAGCACCGGCUAACUACGUGCCAGCAGCCGCGGUAAUACGUAGGGUGCGAGCGUUAAUCGGAAUUACUGGGCGUAAAGCGUGCGCAGGCGGUUGUGUAAGACAGAUGUGAAAUCCCCGGGCUCAACCUGGGAACUGCGUUUGUGACUGCACAACUAGAGUACGGCAGAGGGAGGUGGAAUUCCGCGUGUAGCAGUGAAAUGCGUAGAGAUGCGGAGGAACACCGAUGGCGAAGGCAGCCUCCUGGGCCAGUACUGACGCU